GAUAGUUGGAACUUAGGUAGAGGCGCUUCCUCCUGUUCAUCUUAUGGUAGGUUUGCCAGAACACUCCAUGAUAGUAUACAAGCCAGAGUCACUUCGCCGAUAUUCAAGGUCUUUUAUGUAAGUAUAUGGUUAUUUAAAUGUAAAUCAUUGGAUUUGUUGUAAACAUUGUACGCUUGGUUUGCAUGAUAAUGUUGCCACAGGUUGGCAAAUGGUAAUAUUAUUUUGUGAAUGGUAUUGUUCGGUUACCAUGACUUAUUUUCAAAAGGAAAUUAUUUUUGAAAACAAUGAAUUAAGAACCUUAGAGGUAAAAGAGAGACGAAUGGUCUAAUGAACAAGUUUAUAUAGAAAGGCUUGCUUGGGCCCAAUGAGCCACUCCUAUUGGUCUUUGCGCCAAUCAUGGCCCGAGAAUUGGGCUGUGACACAUAGCUAGAAUCAUCAUCCACCGGUCAUCAGCUCAUGCGCAGUCCCACACGACAUAUAACUGGAAUCAUCACCCACCGAUCAUCAACUCAUGUGCACUCUCACACCGCACAUAGCUAGAUUUAUCACCCACCGGUCAUCAGCUCAUGUGCACUCCCACACCGCACAUAGCUGGAAUCACCCGUCAUCAUCGAUAUGUGCACUCCCACACUGCACACGCGCAGUUACAAUUAUUACACAAGAUUAUCAUACAAAGCAUAACAUAUAUAUCAUCAGAAUAUAAGAACAGACGGGUUCAUCACAUUACACAUUUUGCAACAUAAAAUGUUUCAUCAAGGGCUUGUUCCCAAGCAUGAUUCAGAGAAAAAAAUCAAAUAAAAUCAUUUAAGUGCUUUAUCCCAGCACAUAUGUAUUUCUCAAAAAUAAUUUAAUGCAAGUUCACUCACCUUAACAAUGCCACCUAACAAGACUAGCACCUACAAGAUCUUAAUCCAAGUAGUCUCGAAAUACCAUUAAAACCUAUAAUUGCCAAUAAACAAUAAUAGCUUCAGAUAUAUCAUAAAUUUAAACUUAAUAAUUCUAAUAAGCAUACUCUUGAUAAAUUACAUUUUAGCCUAAUUUUUAACCUAGAAUUCUAGUCUAAUUCUCAAACCCAUUAUAUCAACUAUUCCAAUUUAAAGGUUCUUUACCUUGGUGAGCUUGGAGUCAUAAAGAUAAACAAAAACCUAAUAUUUCCAAGAAAAAGAAUAUGAAGAAAUUAGGAAAUAAAAUCUAAAAAUAUAACCCAUAAAUUCUAAAAUUCAAGAGUUGAAAAUACAUAUCUUUUGGCUUUAAAAUGAAGGAAGAAAGAGAGAUUUUUCUUUCUCUCUCUUACGGUUUGGUUGUGUUGAAAAUUAGGGUUAAAAGUUGUGGGUUUUGGUGCCCAAGAAGUUAGGAGAAGAAAAAAGUAAGAAAAGAAAGGAAAUGGAAAUAAAACAAGGAAAAUCAAAUGAAGAAAUUUUGAUUUUCAUGGAGGUGAAAUGAAAAUGGCGUUGGGUGGGUGAGGAAGAAGAAGAAAAUAUCUUUUGGUGAAGAUAAAAACUGGUCAUGGGAUAAGGAUGAUGAGUCAAAGCUUCCAUUGGAAGCUUUGACCAAUCUAAUGGCAAAAUUACCAUUUUACCCUCUAAAGUUUUCAACCUUUUUAAUUGUAUCCUCCCAUAAUCUUUUAAUUCCAAUUUCUUUCCAUUUUUUGUCCUUAACACUUGUGCCAAUAAAAUGUCAAGUUUAUGCUUCAACGUGGUAUCACCUACAACAUUUAAAUAUUUACUUACCCGCGCUAGCUUUAUUUAAUAAAGACAUGUGGACGCCAUUAACGUCAUUUUUUUUUAAAUUUUCUCAUUCUUCUUCUCCCCCACUUAGAUUGACCAUAUACUCCUUAAUGGAAAAUUUCGACACAGAAUAAAAUAUUAAUAUUUUAAUAUUAUUUUGUUAAUAAAAUAUUAUUUUAUUUUAAAAUUUUCCACGUGUCUCCUUGUCACCCAAAAUGUCUUAUUAUGGCUCGAUUCACUUCCGAAUCAUUUUUUAUCUCGCUAAUUCAUCUUCAAUAAAAAUAUUAUUAUUCAAUUGUUAUUUCUUCGCGUGCGAAAUAUUUUUUUCCAAACUAUUCCUUUCACCUCUCAUCACUGUUAAACAUUCUAAUUAACCUCAAUUGGCAUCCGAUAAGCUUUAUUAGCUACCAUAUCAAAGUACGGGGUAUUACAGCUAUCCUCCAUAUAAACCAAAUAAAUCUAAGGAAAGAAUGGAGAAGAAAAUUCUUUACAAAAUUCUGCGAUACUUUCCACUCAUACUUAGGUUACAAAGACUUUAUAUGUCUAGAAAAAUCAUAGAACACAUGACAUGGCAUGCUACACUCCAAUUCAAUGAUGGAGUGCCUAGACAUCUUGUUGAUGGUAAGGCUUGGCAACACUUUAAUCACACUUAUCCAUCUUUUGUGAUAGAGCCUCGCAACAUCAAACUCGAUUUAUGUUAUGAUGGUUUCAGUCCAUUUGGUCCAGUGACGAAAUUGUACUCUGUUUGGCAAGUAAUGCUCAUCGUCUAUAACUUACCUCAACGGAUGUGAAUGAAGAAACCAUACAUCUUUCUUAAUCUGGUCAUCUUAAGAAGUAGAAGUCUUGGACAAAACAUAGAUGUUUUCUUGUGACCUUUAACAGAUGAGUUAAAAGUUCAGUGGGAUGAAAGUGUUGUCACGUACGAUGCCUUUACGAAACAAAAUUUUAUUGUCAAGUUCUACUCUAUCAAAAAAUUGUUAAAAGUUAGUAUUGUACCUAAUGGUACAAUUAAGUUGAUUAAAGCCUCGAACUAGGCCAAAUAAAGAUUUUACGAUGUAUUUGAGACUUAUUGAAUCUUAGAAUGUCUUAAUAUGGUGAUUCGAAGUUCGAGGAUUGAUUUGGAGUCGAAUCGAGAAUUUUCAUAACGUAGGGGCAAAAUUGGAAUGUUGGACGAGAUUUUUGAUCAAAUUUGACUAUUUAGAGCAUAAUUUGAAAUUAUGGAGUGAAAAUUUUCAAUUUCGACAUUUUUCGAGUAUAAGGGCAAAAUUUUCAUUUCACGUAUCCAUGAGGAUGUAAUUGAAAUUUUACACCACCAUGACACUUGUCAAGCCCAUGAAUUUCACCUAUUAUCACUUCAUACUUUGGAUAAUUAUGAGAUUACAUGUGGUGGUGAGAAAUUGCUUAAUGAUUAAGUUUUAAGCAUGGACCAAUUACAUGGUGACAUGUGGCAAAUUUUAAUCCUUUUAUAAUUCCCUUUAAAAAACCAGCACACACUCCUCUCAAAUCACUCUUAUGGCCGGCCAAGCAAGGGAACAAAGAGAAAAAGAGAAGAACAAACACUAGGAAGGAAAAAUUCAAGAGAAAUUGUUGGAUUUCAAGGAAUCAAGCAAGUAAAGGUAAGAUUUUUUAAUUUUAGCUUGUGAUCUACCUCUCACAUGCAUUCUUUUUCAUUCUCCAUGGCUGAAAUUCAAGUUUUCAAGAGGGAACCUUUGCUGGCCAAAUCUAGAGAGAGAAGUUUUGGUGAUGAAUUUUAUGAGAUUUCAUAAUAUCCUAGUGUUUUUAGUCAUUUUGUGAUGUUUGGAAGUAAAAACAAGCAAGAAAAUCACAUGUUCUUCAACCACCCUCAUUUGGCCGAAUUUUCUAUAGGGCAUGUUGAUGAUGGAUUUGGUGGUAUUUCAUGUAAUUUAGCUAGGAAUUGAUAAUUAUAGGGUUGGAUAUUGAAACUGGUUAUUGAAAAAUAUAGUUCCUUUAGAAAAUGGCUUGAUGGAAAAUGAGAAAAUCAUAAUAAAUGGACUUGGAUUUGAUUCCUAAUGAUAUAUAUGGAUUUACGAGACUGUGUAGACAUUGAUUAGUAUGUUAGUUCGGAAUCGGAAUGAAUUUCAGAAAAUGGUGAUGUUAGUAAAAAAUCAAGUUCAUUGUAAUGCUUUGGUGUAUUAGAUUAUUGGGAGUGUAAUGAAUUUAUAUGGAAUUGAAUCGAAUGUUUUGGUUAAAUAAAUGGUGUAUAAUUCGAAUUAGGUUGAAUACAAAUUCAUUCCGAUCACAAUUGAACCCACCUAGAACACCGUCUUUAAGUGAUUAUUUGGACAAUUCUCAUUCAAUGUCAUGCAUUCAUAUGGAGCCUAAAAUAGUUUUAUAACAGUUUGGCAUAAAUAUAUUGAAUUACGUGUCGCGUAUUAUGUAUAGGUGGUGAGCCUUUUGAUAAGGGUACAGAUAUUGUGCCCGAGGACCAAGAAUAGGAGUAAUCAGACUUUCAUCUUAACUAUCUAAAGUAGUUUAUACUCGUUUUUAUGUUUUAAAGAAAAAUGAAUUUAAAUUGCAAACUAUUAUGUUUUAUAAUUGAAGUGUUGAUUAAACGAAAUGAGAUUUAUAACUUGUUUUGAAAUUGAAUACUGGUUUUGGAAAUUGAGUAAGUGGAGACUGUAUAUUUCUGUUAUAUAUAUGUUUUGACAUAUGGUUUGAAUUGAUGGCUUAUGACAAUGUGAUGGCAAGCAUGGCUGGAUUUGUGUUUGUGUGGAAUAUAUGAACUGUUUUGCUUUGCCUUGACAGGUUGGUAAUAUUAUAUUAGCCAUGUCAUGUUAUCGGAAAUUUUACUGAAUUGGUGGGUUAUUUGAUUAGCUUAUUGCAGUGGGAGGGUUUCCAUGGACCAGCCUAUUAGAGGGGCACGGUAAACCCCGUUAUAUUUACCCUAGUACGAAAGGUGCGGAGGGUAUCUCCUAAGGUACAGUUAGAGUUCACCUCAUGCCGAACCACCACGUGAGGGUGAAACUUAGCCAACGCCAAGGAAUGGCUAUACUUUUAAAUGUAAAAAUGAGUUUUAUACUUAUAUGUUAUUUUAACAGCCUUGGCGGACUCGGUUGGAUGCCUGAUGCAAGGUGUCACCGAGUGCAAGUUUUUUACACGGGCCAAGUUUUAAGAGAAUCAUAAGCCUUGUUGAUUUUUAUGAAAUGAAAUGAGAUUCGAUGUUAUGAAUCAUAUUAUGAUGAGAUAUUUUAAAUUGUCUCCAUUUACUCGACUUUAGAUGUUUUAGAUGAAAUUUGCUUACUCAGUGGGUUUAUAAAAACUCACCCCUUCUUUUUACCCAUUUUAGGCUCAGGGCAAUCUGUAGAUCGCUGAUUAUGUCGAGGGUUUGCUUUUGGGUUUGCACCCUUAGAAAUCACAAGUCUAUAGUCUUGUACAUGUAUGUUUAUUUUGGGGGCCCACAUGUCAUUGUAGAAUAUUUUGUAUACUUGGCUACGUGUGCCACUGUAUGUAUUAAUUUAUUUUUCUUUUACGCUAAAAAAAUUAUUUACGUAGAGUUCUAUAAAUAUUGUUUUAUAAGAAAAUAGAAUAUUUUAUUUAAUAUUUUUAUUUAAUUUGAAUAGCUGUAAUUUCACUUUAAAUUGAUGAAUUAGACAACGAAACUUAUUUUUAGACAUGAAAUGGAUGCUUAUUACUCAUAUAUCAUAUUUUUACCAAGGUUCGAAAAUUUUGGGUAAAAUGACCAAAAUACCCUUGUGUAGAGAAAUUAGUUUUUGAUUGUUUUUUAUUUGAAAUUGGUCUAUAUUUCUUUAAAACAUGGUAUUUAAUAAUUGUUGCUCACAGGGGAGAAGUAAAACUAAUGUAAAAGCCUUGCGAGGUUUUGGUUGGCAUUCCGGGUAAUGAAUGUCAAUCGAGACAUCGCGGUGGAUGUCACUGGCUAGAAGGGAGUACCGGGUCGUGACAUUUAUUCUAUGAGAAACACUUUUGUGGACCAUUAAUGACUUUCUUGCAUAUGAUAUGUUGUUCAAGUGGAGCACUCAUGGAUGUUUAUCAUGCCCGUCUUGCAUGGAAUAUGGGAAGAGUUUCAUUUUGCAGUGUGGGAAGAAGCCUUUUUUGUUUUUUAUUGUCAUUGACAAUUCUUCCCAAUGGUCACGACCCAGAACUCCCAUCGAGCCCGUGACAACUGUCGCGAAGCCUCAAAAGACAUUCUUCCCCCGAAUACCUUUCAAGACCUCGCAAGGCUUUUGUACCAAUUUUUCAAUUCCUCUCUAUUUUUUCCUUUUUUCUAAAUAAUAAAAUAAAAUAAAAAUAUUAAUUAAAAUAAUCUAUUUUAAUGUAAAACAAUAUAUAUAUAUAUAUUUUUGAAGCAUCAAAAAUUAAUUUUUUGCACAUAAAAACAAAAUAAAUUUAUACAUACUGUAAUAUAGAAAACUGGAGUAUACAAUUUAAAUUACAAUGACACGUGGGCCCCCAAAUAACUGAGAAGGUUUAAGUCUAUAACCUUGCUUUCUAGGAUGCAACUCCGAAAUUUACUUCUCGAUGCAAUUGAUAGUCUAUUGCCUAUUCUGAGCCUGAAAAAUGUAUAGGAAGAAGGGAUGAGAUUAUAAAAUCCCAGUGAGUAGACAGACAUCAUCAAAAUAAUCUAAAGCCGAGUAAUAGGAGAUAAUUAAAAUAAUUCAUCCCAACCCAUGUAAAUAAUUGGAUUUUAUCCAAUUACUCAACAUGGCUUAUGCACUUUUCAAAAACUUGGCCUUUGCCAAAAAUCCAUUCUCGGGGAUACCCCGCGAAGGCAUCUUACCGAGAUCGCCAAGGCUGUUUAUUAUCACACAAACAAACACAUUUCACCUCUGACAACAUAGCCGUUCCUCAGCGUUGGUUGAGUCCCAGUUUCACGUGGUGGCCAGCGUGAAGUGUACUCAAAUCCUACCUCGAGAGUUAUCCUACUCGCCUCUCCAAUCGAGGUAAGCUCAAUAAUUGGGAACCGUGCCCCUUUAAUUAGGCUGGCCUACAGAACCCCCGUCACUGCAGUGCCCACUUUAUAAUCCACCAACCAAUAAAAUCACAAUAGUAUGACAUGGCUCACUUAACACAUUCAAGGCAAAUCAAAGCAGUUCACAUAUUCUUUAAAUCAUAAAAAUAACUAGUCAUACCCAUAUUUAUCAUAAGCCAUUUCAUGUAAAAUCAUGGAUAACAACACAAUCAUAGUAUAGGUCUCCAAUUACUCUAUUUUUGAAAUCAUUAUUAAAUUUUCAAAAAUUUUAUAAAAUCCCAUUUUUCCAUAAAACACAAUAAUUUUCCAAUUAAACCAUUUUUUCAUAAAAUCACACAAUUAAAUAAAUCUACUCUAGAUAAUUAAGACGAUAGUAAGUUUACUCAUUGUACUAGGAGUAGAUAUACUCCUAUUCUUGGUCCUCGGCUGUAGUCUUUUACCCGUAUCAGAUAGCUCACCACCUGUCCAAAAUACAUGAUACAAAAAUUUCAAUAAUUUGUGUCAAAUUAAUAUAUAUUAUUUCAGGCUCUUAUCCAUGCGUAUGCACUAGAUAGGGUGUGAAAUGUUUGGACAAUCGCUUAAUCACAAUGUCCGACCUAAAUCGCCUAUAUACGGUGUAUAUUUCUAAAAUCUCCAAUUCAACUCCAAUUCCAUCGAUUUCAAUUUCAAUUAUCCAAUUAUAUCCACAAUACCUCAAUGACUGUGAAUGUGGUCCAAUUUAUCAAUUCAGACCACAAAUUACACUUUUACCCCUAGUGGGUAAAAAUUUCAAUUUUUUUUUGCACAAAAAAUUCCCAUUUAAUUUCCAACUUCAUAAUUCAUCAUUUUUCCAUCUAAUUCUCUUAAAAUAAAGUCAACCUCAUCCUCACACACCAUUGGCUAGAUUCGGCCUAGAGAAAUUCAUAGAGAAAAUGAAUAUUUUUCUUGUUAUUUUACUCAUAAACAUGCUAAACUAACACUAAACACUAACAUAGUUCAAAAUCAAAUUAAUCUAACAACUUUCUCUCUCUAAACCCAUAUGAUCAGAUUUGAAUCCAUCAUCAAAACACAUAAUUUAACCAUGAAAAAUAAGGAGAAAUGCAUGGAAAUGAUAAAUCUUAAGCUAAGCUUGAAAAAUCAUACCUUUAAACACUUGAUUCCUUGAAAAAUCACACUUUUUCUUUGAAUUUUCUCACUCUAGGGUUUGUUCUUAUUUCUCUCUCUCUCCUGCUGGUUUUGGCUGACCCUCCCAAUGAAGAAUUCUGGAAUUUUCAAGCCUUUUAAUAGGCUUAAUAAAAUAUUAUUAUUUUAUUUACCUUUUGAAUAUUUUAUUAUUUUAUUUUUUUCUAGCCAUUUUUUUUACUUUCUUUUUCUACCACUCAAUCCUCUUCACUUAUCCAUGUCUUCCCUGAAAUUUCUAGACUUUUCCAAAAUUUUGGUGGAGCAAAUUUUUAAAAAUUACACUUUUGCCCCCGUAAUGUGAAAAAUUACAUUUUUACCCCAAAAACUGAAAAAUUGCCCAUAGAUAUUUUUUUCAUCCCUUAUACUCAUACCAUUCUCCAAUUUGUCAAAUGUGAUCUAAAUUCUCUCAAAAUAUCAAAUUUUGUCCGCGGGUGGAAAAAUUACAAUUUUGCCCUUAGAUAGUGAAAAUUUUGGUUUGACUCCGAAUUGAUCCUCAAACUCCGAAUUACCAUUUUGAGUCACCCCUGAACUGUGAAACUCUUAAUUUCACCUUAAAAUUCCUAUUUGAACUAGUUCAAGGCUUAAUCGACUUAGUGGUACCAUUAGAGGCAAUAUCGUCUUUUAACGAUUUCUCGAACUUCCUAAAUAUACAAACAUUCUAUCGAGGAUGUGAAUGACAUUAUAAUUAUUUUACAAAGUAUGGUUUGACAGAUCAUCCAUUUUGCCACCAAAGAGAUAAAUUUAAAAAACAUGUUGAAAGGGAUCCUCCAAUCCCUCGCUUAUCCAGUGUUGAGAUUUUGCUAUAAUUGGAUACAACUCCUAAUAUCACAUGUGGAGUAAAGGUUGGUGACCAUAAGCUACUGAAUUUUGGUCAAACCCAUAAUUGGAUGAAAAAAAAGCAUUUUUUAGGAGUUACCAUAUUGGAGUACAAAUCUCAUUCGUCAUAACUUGGAUUUGAUGUAUAUUAAGCGUAAUGUCAUUAAUAAUAUAUUCAACACGAUGAUAGAUAUUCCAGGGAAGACGAAAGACUAAAUCAAGGCUCAUUAAGGUUUAGAGGUGUGUUGUAUUACGAAUAAUGGUAAGUUGUAUAAACUGAAAACCUCCUACACUUUGAUUAAAGAGCAAAAGAAAGCUGUGUGUGCUUGGGUGAAAUAGUUACAACUGCUAAAAGGUUAUGCCUUUAGUAUAAUGAAUUGUGUGCAUGAGCAGGAGUGCAAAUUUUAUGAGAUGAAAAGUCAUAAUUCUCAUGUUUUCAUGCAGCGUUUGUGUGACACCCAGUACCCUCAUAUAGACAUCAAUAUAACCUUAUCAAUGAGACAAAGGGUCAAUGGAUGCUGAUUUAAGUGCCAAAGGAUGGAGACAGGUGAAAAGAGUAUUUUAAGAUAAAAUAUUCCGCACGUGAAGAAAUAAUAAUAAAAUAAAAAUUGUUUAUCAAGAAAAAAUUUGUGAGAUAAAAGGUGAUUCGGAUGUGAAUCGAGAUAAAGUAAGAUGUUUUGGAGCCCUAGAAGGCUAGUGGAAAAUUUUGGAAUAAAAUAAUAUUAAAAAUUAAUAUUUUAUUUGAUGUCAAAAUUUUCCAUGAAGGAGAAAUAUAUGGUCAAUCUAAGUGGGGGAGAAGAAGAACGAAGAAAUUUUAGAGAAAAAAUGACGUUAAUGGGGCUCGUGUUUCUUUAUUAAAUAAAGCUAGCACAAAAAAGUAAAUAUUUAAAUAUUACGGUGUUAACAUGUUAAAUCAUAAAUUUGAUAUUUUAUUGGUAUAAGUGUUAAGGAAGAAAAAUGAAAAGAUAUUGGAAUUAAAAGAUUUUGGGAGGAUACAAUUUAAAAGGGUGGAAACCUUGAAGGGCAAAACGAUAAUUUCUCAUAAAGCUUGGUCAAAGCUUCCAAAGGAAGCUUUGUCUAUCCAUCCUUAUCCCAUGGCCGACCAUUGUGUCCAAGGCAUCAUCUUCCUCCUUCAUCUCCUACCAAUGCCACUUUUGUUCCUCCACCAUACAAUCAAGAUUUUCAUUUUCUUUUUCUUGUUUUCUUUUCUUUCCUUUUCAUUUCUUAAUCCUUCCUUCUCCUAACUUCUUAGGCAUCAAACUUGCAGCUUUUAACCCCAUUUCCAGCACAUCUAAACCCUAGAAAAGAGAAAGAAAAACUCUCUUCGUUUUCUUUAUUUUCUAUUUCUACUCCACUUUCAACAACACUUGGAUUUUUGGCUUUAAUCUUCAUUUUUAAGGCCAAAAGGUAUAUAUUUUCAACCUUUGAAUUUUUGAAUUUAUGGGUUUGUAAUUUUUAGACUUUAUUUUCUAAGUUUCUUCAAAUUUCCUUUCCUUGAAAAUUGCUAGGUUUGGUUGAUCUUUAUACCUUCAAGUACCAAGGUAAAUAAACUUCAAACUUGAACAAUUAGUUUAAUGGGUUUAUGAAUUAGACUGGAAUUCUAGGUUAAAAGUUGGGUUAGAGUGUAGAUUGUAUAGUGCAUAUUUAUUAGAAUUAUUAAAUUCAAAUUAUGACUUGAUGGAGGUUUUUAUGGCUUAUUGGUAAAUAUAGGUUUUAACAAUAUUUCGAGACUACUUAAAUUAAGACUUUGUGGGCACUAGUUUUGUAAGGUGGCAUUAAGGUGAGUGAACUUGCAUUAAAAUGUUUUGGAAUAAAUGAUUAUAUGCUUGAUUGAACCAUUUGAAAUAUUUUUUUGGUUUUUCUUAAAAUUUGCAUGGGAAGAAGCCCUUGAUGAAACGUUGUAUGUUGUGAAUGUAUAAUAUGAUGAAUCCUUGUGCUUUUAUAUUAUGUUGAUAUAUAGGUUAUGCAUUGAUAGUUACUAUUGUGUGAUAAUUAUAACAGCGCAUGUGUAGUGUGGGAGUGCACAUGUCGGUGAUGACGAGGUGUAAGAGUCUGAACGAUGGCAUUAGCUGUGCGCGAUAUGGGGGUGCACAUGAUAGACUCGGCUAUGUGCAGUGUAGGAGUGCACAUGAUCUGGGUGAGGCGGUGGUGGUAUACGUGUUUAUAUAUAUAUUUACUAUAUAGAUAGGUUUAGAAUUAAUAUGUUUUUGCAUUGACUGUUGAAACUUGAUUAUUGUCAAAUGUGUUUAAUUUGAUUUUCAUUGCAACAGGAUUGGAUUUUUAUAGUAGUGAAAAUUCCCCUAAUUUCAUCUGCUCAUAAAUUUUACUGUAGCGAAAAUGCCUUUUCGCUGCAGCAAAAGACUCACAGGUGGAUGGAUUUAACCUUUGCUUUGGAUUUUCGCUACAGGGUGAAUGCAUUCUUGUUGCAAUGAGAAACUCUCACUCUGCUAUGCUUGCCUUGCUUGAACUUCCUAAAUGUUUUAAAAUGAGUUGAAAAAUAGUAUGGCACCGAGUUUUGUUCAUAAUAUACCAAAUUGCAUUGUGUUUAAACAAGUGCAUCAUGUUUUUGAAAAGCUUUCAGUAUUGUUUGCUUGUUCCCUUCCUAUGUUCACUCACUGGGUUUAUACUCAUCCUUUUCAACUUCAUGUUUUACUUUUCAGGUUCGUAGAUAGUUAGAUUUCAAGUAGAGGCAUUUCCUCCUAUCCAUCUUACGAUAGGUUUACUAGAACACUCCAUGAUAGUAUUCAUACCAGAGUCACUCCGCUGAUAGCCAAGGUCGUUUGGUAUUUAUAUAUAGUGGUUUAAUUGUAAUUCAUGAGAAUUGUGGUAAACACCAUAUGAUUGAAUUGAAUGAUAAUGUUGCCAUAGGUUGGCAAAUGGUAGUAUUAUUUUGUGAAUGGUAUUGUUCAGUUGCCAUGAUUUAUUUUUGAAAGGAAAUUAUUUUUGAAAACAAUGAAUUAAGAACCUUAGAGGUAAAAGAGGGACAGGUGGUCUAAUAAACAAGUUUCAUAGAAAGUCUUGCUUGGGCCCACUGGGCCAUGCCUAUUGGGUCCUUGCGUCGGUCAUGGCUCGAGAAUUGGGCUGUGAUAGUUUGCUCCCAAUUGUAUUUCACGAUAUGGUUCCUCACGCUAUUUAGAGUGCAAUUGUUGAGAUCUCACAUUUCUUCCGUGAUAUCUCUGCAAUCGAAUUGCGUUUUGAUCAUAUCAAUGCAUGGGAAGGAAAUAUCAUAGAAACCAUAUGCAAAUUGGAGAAGAAUUUUCCCAUAAGCUUUUUCAACUCAAUGGAACAUUUGUCGAUCCACUUGGCAUACGAAGCUAAGGUUGGAAGACAAAUCCAUUACUGAUGGAUGUAUCCUUAUGAGAGGUAUUGGGAGCCACACAUAUAAUUUACUUAUUAUUUUAGGGUUUACAAUUAGAAUCUAACAAGCGCGUUAAUCUUUAAGUUCUUGCAUCAUUUGAAAAAAAAAAGUGAAUAAUUGAGCAUUGGUGGAAGAAUCCAUUUGUGAAGCAUAUAUCAUCAAGGAAAUAUCAACUUUUUGCUUAACAUAUUACAAAACUACAAUCCCAACAAAAAUGAAUUUGGUUCCUGAAAUGAUGUUGGUGGAGACAUUAAUGCAUCUGGUCAUCUUUCAAUUUUCACCCAUCUCGACAGAUCCUUAGGUCUAUUCGAGAAACGUCGAUACCUAGAGAAGGAUGAGUUUUAUGCUGCAGAACUAUAUGUACUAAUGAUUUGCAAAGAGAUAUUGCCAUACGUUGAGUAAGUUUAAGUUAAUUAAUUAUAUGUUUAGAAAAUUAUGAAAAGUGAAUGGUAUUAAUUCACUAUAUGUUCCUCCUAUCUUUAGGAUGUUUAACGAUAUCGUGAAACGAGAAUGAUAUGGUAUUUUUGACAAGGAAUUGGAGAAAGUCCAUGACACAACAUUUCGAAAUUUGUUUAAACAAUAUGCAAGUUAUCUAUAAUAAAUCUAAUUGAUUGUGUUAAAAUAACACUUCAAAAUAUUAUAUGGCAUGUCACUUUCUUGUAGGUGGCCCAACAUGUGAAUCAAAUUGAUUCUCAUCUGGUUGAAAUGUUGCAAGAUUCUUGUCAUAUGGCGAUGUGUUACAAAGGUUACUAUGUGAAUGGAUACAAGUUCCAUACAUUGGACUAUGGAGAAAAUCGCUCCACAAUGAAUAAUGGUGUCUAUAUCUAAGGUCAUAUGCCUAGUGUAGCCUUGCCCACUCAUACCAAUCCAGACCAAGGUAUCCUUUUGUAUCUUGUCGGAAAGAAGUAAUUUCCAAUUAUUACCUUAUUUCAUUAUAUGCAACAAUUUUAUUAAUGUGUUUUAAUAAAGAUGUAUUGAUUUUGUAGUACUUUUACAAAGACUAGAGUGACUCUAACCAUCACAAGAAUAAUCAAGAGUCACUUCAGUGGGCCUUGUCCUACAUGGAGGUUUAUUCCUACCAUGGUGAAAAGCGCCAUGUGGUGUAAAUUUGAGGUGCCAUAUUGUUGUUGUAUAUUUAUUUAGAUUUCUUUUAACAAUACUAAUAUAAAUAUUUAUUUUUAAUGUAGGAGUUUUUUACGUGGGAUGCUAUUGAUGUUUUGGUGGUCUAUAACAUAUGGGAGAAGACUUGUAAAGACUGAUUAAAAAAUCUAUUAACAAAUGAGCACAAGAAUGCCAAGAGGGAUACGUGCACUUGUCACGAUAUCCUUUUGACCAAAGGGAAGGCAUGUCUUUAGAUCACUGCAGAAGUUUGGCACCAACUAGUCGAUAAUGUCUAGGUCACACCCAAGUGGCAGCAUCGAUAUGAGAAGGCCCAGCAAAAUCGCUCGAUAGAAAAGGAUGGUAGAAUAGCAACGCAGACAAGGGGUUCUUUACCUUUUGCUUUACAUUAAAAGGAAAUGGUACGUGUUCUUAACUCGUAUUAAGAUAAUGUGAGCCUUUUGUUGUUGUCGUUGUCUUGUUGACGAUUGCAAAGCAAUGCAUAUUUUUUAUGAUGGGUUUGUUUUUCUUGUGAAUAUGUUAUGUAUUGUUAAUGUUUUAUGAUUUGAAAACAUGUGGUCAUUGUGUUGUUGAAGAUUGCAGAAACAUGCAAAUUGGUGAUGAAGCAUUUUUUUCUUAUUGUGAUUGCAGUCCGAGACGCUACAAAGGCUAGUGACAUUCUUUGAGGUUUUUGACUGCACUCACAAGUGAUAGAAAGGUACUGAAGAGUUUGUGGACAACAAGUCUAAGACUGUUAGUGUAAGUAAUAAAAAUGAGUCAAUUUAUUUUCAUCAUAUUAUUGUAUAUGUGUAUAUGUUACUUAGCAAUUUAAUUAAUAUAAAUGUCAUUUUUUUUAUUUGUAGUAAUCAUACACAUUUGUUUUAUCACAAAAGUAUAGUAAUGAUCCAUCAUCCUAGCCGAAAUUUGAUCUAGUAGCAUGGUCUGAGGCAAUUGGAGGGCCACAAACCACUUGGACCCAUGUCUACGGGUUUAGCACCAUGAUGCAACUUCCUACACUAUUAGCUCUAGCUACAACAUCUGAGUCUACCUAUUGUCUGAUGCCUUCUAUUAAUGUUACACAUGUUCCUCCAUCUGAACCUCAGGGCUAUCAAGAAAUGAAAAGCAAUGUGAAGGAGUUUAAAACUGACAUGCAUGAUAUUAAGUCCAUCGGGAAGGUUGUACUUGAUAGGCUUCCAAAUCUAGCUUGCAAGUCUUCAUCAUCAUAAUUGUUGCAUCCUCAGUCACAACAGUAGUCUCCACUUUCUGAUGAUUUGGCUGAGGCACAACCAUAAUUCCUUUUCAUUAUAGUAUAUAUUCCUUGUAUUAACGUUUUUCAUAAAUUUUGACAUAACACUUCUUUUUUAAUCUUAAAAAAUUUGGUAUGUUUUUUCCAUUUUAUAAUACAUCUUGGAUGUUUUUAAAACAAAAUUCUUGCUUUUAAUAUUAAUAUUAUUAUUAUUCAAUGCAGGAAAUGCAAAUUUUUAAAAAAUUUCAUAAUUAUUACCGACGAAAUUAUUAAUGGAAUUUUCUCAAUACUGAUGGAAUUCGUUACCUAAUUAUUGAUGGAUUUAGCUUCAUUAUCAAUGGAAUAGUACACAUUACCAACAUAAUAUUAAAAAAAAAUUGGUUACUAAUUCCAUCAGCAAUUCCAUAAGCAAUUUCGUCAAUAAAUUACCAAUGGAUUUGCCAACCACAAUUUUCCAUCAAUAAAUUAACGAUUGAUUUGUUGAUUGAAACUUUUUGGUCGGUAUUUUUAUCGAUCGAAUUUGUUGACAGAUUUCCUAUAUCACUGAUGGCUUUAUCGAUCAAUGUAUUGGCAACUUUACAAACGAAAUUACUAAUGAAAUUUUUAGUCGAUAAAUUUACGGACAAAAAUUUAUUACCGACAAGAAUAUUUUUGAUUGAUUAUUGAUAAAAUUUUCUAUCAGUAAUUCCAUCGGUAAUUAACAGAAUGCACACCUUUAUUGAUGAAUUUUUUCGUUAAUAAAACCUUAUUUUUUAAGUAGUGUCACCAAAUGAAUAUAAAAUGGGUUUACAAAGUGAAGAGUUUACCUUAAGCCCUUUAAGAGCCAUGAGGCAUGAUUCUAAUUGGAUUGAGGAUUGAAUUUCACUUGAUUCUUUAUCUCUAAUUGUCAUGCCACAUGUUGAGCAUUGACUUUCACAAGGCUUUUCUUUCAAUUUCUCUUCUUUGCCAUGCAACUCUUCUAAUUUCUCUAAAAUCUCUGACACUUUCACACUUGAACACUCUCUUGUAAUCAUUAUCAUGAAUUGCACAAAAAAGAUUAUGCAUAGCCUUAGCAUUGAGUUGUACCAUAUUCAUGACACUUGUAUCCCAGUUUCUUUUUUCCUUGGUUAGCUUUUAUGGACCAUCAAAAAUUGUUCACCAAACUUCAUAAUCGUUGGCUAAAACAAAAAACUUCAUUCUAUUCUCCCAUAAAUGUAGUUCUCACCAUUGAAUAAAGGAAGCUCCACAAAUGAUUGCCCUUCACCAAGAAUUGUUACAAUAGAGUUAACGGCCAUGUAUUGAAGCUAACAAGGAUCACUUAAAGGCUUUGAAACCUACAAAAUUGAGUUCAAGCUCUGAUACCAAUUGUUAAAUAGUGUUAACUCAAUGAUGAUGACUAGAAGGGGGUGAAUUGGACUUUAAAAAUUUUCUAAGAAACUUAAAACCUUUAAGGAGAUAAAAAGGAUUUUUGAUAACUCUAUUAUAUAGAGUUAUUUUGACACAUUUUGGAAGCUUAAGCAGCUAAAUCUUUGAGAUUUGAGGUUUGGAUUGUAGCAUUUUAGGUAUUUUUCUAGUUUAAGUUUGAUUACAUGUUGAGUAGUUAAUUUAAGUUAUUUUAGUUAAAUUUUAUGUUUUUUUGUUUUAAAUUACUUUAAGAGUAGUUAUUGCUGGUUUCUUUUAUUGCUUUUGUAGGAAAUUUGAUGAAAAAGGCUCAUUUGAUGAAAAUCCAUGCAAGUAUGGUGAUGGCUUCAUUCGUAUAUGUUGCGGUAGUUUGACCAUAUCUUUCUCUACAGAAGUCCAAAUGAAGUGUUUCUUGACCACUACAACACUAAGAAGAAGGGCUACACCUUUUAUAUUUACCACUUUUCCUAGUUCUAAUUGAAUCAUGGCCAAAAUAUUUGUCUAAUUCGAAGCACUAUAGCAGUAUGCAUGGACAAAACAUGAUGUGCUAUUUGGAGCAUAUCAUUCAAUCUAGCAGUCUAAUUGAUGUGAUUCUUAAUCAAUUGGCAAGUUAAGAGAUAGGGUUAAAACUUUUAUGUUUAUCACUUUGCCCAGUUUAAACCAGAUCAGGGUGAAAAUUACAUUCGAAUUUGAUACACUGCUACAGCGUUGGGAGAACAAGGCUGUAGCACUAAUGAAAAGAAGCACACAACACAUUUUCCAGAGAUCUCAGCGCUAUAGCACUAGAGAAGUAGUGUCGCAACGUUGGGCGAUUUUCCAAAAAUAAAGAGUUGAUGGGAUUUUUGAAAUUAGAUUAUUUAGAGCCUAUUUAAGAGACCUUUUUCAGAGGUUUUAAAGGGAAGGCAGCAAGCAACUAUUCCAGAGAUUGGGAGCCAAGAACAAAACAAGAAAACAAGAAAAUUUGAGAGAGAAUUGAGAUCAUAAAGCUUCAAUAAUUUGUUUCUUUCUCUACUCUUAUGUUUCUUUUAUUUUCUUUGACUUGGAUUCAUUGCUAAAUUUCUUUGGAUGUUGUUUUUAUUUGUUAUUAUGAGCUAAAUUAUUUGUUUCUCUUUUAUUUAUCAUGAAUGGGUAUAGUUUUGCUUAUUCAAAUUUGUUCUUAAUGCUUCUGAUUGCUUGGCCAACAAUUAACUAAUUUGUGAAUCUAAUUGAGACUUGACAAAGAGAUUUUAGAUUGAACUAAAGUUUGAAUAAUGUAUGUUCAUGUCACUUAGGUGAUCUGAUUCGUAAUUCGAGUAGACAUACGCCAAUUGCCAUACAUAGCCACAUUAGGACACCUACUUAAUGAACUUAAUUUAAUUGAUUCCUAUAGACAUAUGUGAACUAAUUAAGCGAGGUAUUUGUACAAGCAACUCGACAGAGACGUGUCCAUAGCUUUGGAUUCUAGGUUAGUACAACCACCUAGGAAAGAUAAAUAACAACAAAAACUAAUAUCAGAUGGAAUGUGGAAUGAACUCAUAAUCUUAGGUAUUUAAUAUACUGGUUUUCUGAACUUAUUUAGUUUGUUAGUUUAUUUAGUGUUGUUUUUUAAUUGUUUUGAAUUAGUUUUUCUUUAAUUUUUGGAUUACUUAACUAAGAUUAAUUUGUUUUAUAAUUUUAGUAAUUAGUGAAACUUUAGGAACAAAUCUCCGUGGGAAUGAUACUCUACUUCAUCACUAUAUUACCUAUUCGAUAUGUAUACUUGCGUGUGCAAAAUCGACAACAAGUUUUUGACGCUGUUGCUGGGGAUUUUGUUUAUUUGUUAUUUGCUAAUAUUAAAAUUUUAUAGAUUAGUCUUAAUUUAAGUUUUAUUUCUAUGUUUUGCAUGUUGGUCCCAAGUAAAUGUGCUAGAGGGGGGUGAAUAGCACUUUUUAGCUCUUACUAAAAUUGGCUCUAAGUUGAGGACAAGUUUAAGAUCAAUAAAGACUGGUUCUAUGCAAGAUGAGGGAAUGAUUUAAAAAGGAAUGAAAAUAAAAACAGAAACAGAGUAGACAAUCACACAAGAAUUUAAAGUGGUUCGGUCCAAGACCUACAUUCACUACCUUGAUUGUUCAACUAAAGAUUUUCGAAAUCAACUCACUAAAAAUGGUGGAAUUCCCAAGCUCUCACCAAGCUUUAUAAUGGCUUUUCGCAAACUCAGCCACAACCUUUUAUAAUGGUUUUUCCUGGGAUCAACCAAAACCCAAACUAACUUUUCUAGGUUAAGUUAGAACCUAUACACCUAAUCAAGGAAACCAAGCUUGAAUAAAUUCCCUUAGAGUUUCUCGCACACUCUAAGUAUACAAGAAGAAGAGAAAUAAAGGUGUACCUAUGAUCACUAACUUGAUCUAAGUGGUACAAAGUGAAGUGCUUGAAUCUUUUACAAGGAUAGGAGUGAAGUGUAAAAGGUAUGCUGAAGGUUUUUGUAAUUUUUGAGCUCUUUUUGAACUUGGAAGCCUUAAUUACCUUUCUAGCCAUUGGAAGCCUCUUAAAUACUUGAAGAAUUAGCUCUGAUAGGUGUUAGGUAGUUUUUGACCGUUGGAAAUAGUUUGGUGGCAGUUUUGGCCGUUAAUCUGUCUUCUAUUGCUCAAUUCAAAUUUUCUGACAGAAUGAUCUUAGUACACUAACUACGCUCUUUUAGUUGACUAAGCUGUGUCUGUCUUCUGAUCCCAGAUUUUAGCAGUGAGCACUUAGUAGACUAACUUCUUUCUUAGUCAAUUAAGUUGUUUCUAUCUUGAAGUCUAGAUUUCUAGCAAUAUGCUCUUAGUCGACUAACUUCCUUCUUAGUCAACUAAGUCUUCUCUGUUUCUCAAUCCUCUUGAGCCCCAACUUCUAAUUUGAAAUUUAGCUAACCAACACCCUUCAUUAUCCAACUAAGAGGCUUCUAUUUUGUUGAUCAAUUGUGGCUCCUUAUUCAUAUGAUUUUUGAUAUGUUCCUUUGAAUGAUCAAUUCAUUCUUGGCAUACAAUAUUUUAUCCUGCACACUAAAGUAGAGAUAUUAGACACAAAUGAGUGGGAAUGUUUUAUUAUCAUCAAAAACUAAUAGAGUCAACAUUGCAGUUGUGUUCAACUGUUAUAUGAGAAGAGUGAACAACUUGGAGACUAUCCCGUGUGAUCCAAAAAUUGAGCGAACAUUUUGUAGACUUCAACUAAAGAAUCAAGAAGGUGUUGCUCUAGUAAAUAUAAUGCUUGAUCAAUAGGGUGAACAACAAGUCCAAAAGCGUGUAAUAGUUGGUAAUCAUUACUUAAGGGAUUAUGCUGUUCCUUUGGUAUAAGGAAUUCCAUCGAGCAUUCGUAGGCCAACUAUUCAAGCAAACAAUUUUGAAAUCAAGUCAGCUGUUAUUACCAUGAUUCAAACAUCGAUUCAGUUUGGGGGUUUUCCAAGUGAUGAUCUAAAUGGCCAUAUAUCAAACUUCUUGGAAUUUGUGACACAUUCAAGCACAAUGGUGUCAGAAAUGAUGCAUUUAGUUGAGGCUUUUUCCCUUCUCUUUUAGGGAUAAAGCUAAAGCUUGGCUAAAUGCACUCUCAACUAGCUCCAUAACAACAUGGGAUGAUCUUGCUCAUAAAUUCCUUGUCAAAUUCUUCCCUCCAACUAAGAUAACAAAUAUGAGGAAUGACAUUACAUCAUUCAUGCAACUAGAUUCUGAAUCAUUGUAUGAAGCUGAGGAAAGAUAUAAAGAAUUGCUUAGGCAUUGUCCUCAUCAUGGUCUCCCAAAGUGGCUUCCAAUGCAGACUUUUUAUAAUGGUUUGAGUGGGCAGGUUCGAACCACCAUUGAAGCUGCUGCAGGAGGAGCUUUGAUGGCAAAAUCAAUUGAUGAGGCAUAUGAUUUGCUAAAGGAAAUGUCUGUAAAUAAUUACUAAUGGCCAACCAAGCGAUCACUAUCGAUGAAAGUACCUGGAAUUCAUAACGUUGAUGCUAUGACAACGUUGUCAACUUAGGUAGCAACCUUAACUAAAACUCUUGAAUCUUUUGGUACUAAUAGUGUUCAAAGUCCUUUUAUAGCUUGUGAGUAUUAUAGAGAUAAUCAUACAAGUCAUUAGUGUCCAAGCUUAACAGAGAUAGUGCAAUUUGUGGGUAAUAGAUAGCAUAAUAACCUCUACUUCAACACUUACAACUCAGGGUGGAGGAAUCAUCCUAAUUUUUCUAGGGCUAAUAAUGAAGGUUCAUCCUCAACUUUAAGGCUAAAUGCACCUAUAGCAUUUCACCAGCAAGCUGGCACAUCUAUUUUAGAAAAAAAGCCAGUUGUGGAAGAUCUACUAAGGCAAUACAUGACACAGAAUGAUAGCAUUAUACAAAGUCAAAUAGCUCUCAUUUAGAGUCAAGCAGCAUCAAUUCGAAACAUUGAGACUUAGGUUGGUCAACUUGCCAAUUUAUUAAACAACCGACCUUAAGGAACAUUGCUUAGUGAUAUAGAGGUGAAUCCAAGGAAAGAAGGUAAGAAACAAGUUAUGGCAAUCACCUCGAGGAACGAAAAAAAGGUUGAACAAGGCAAGUUAAUUUUCAAGAUGAGCUUAUUGAGAAGAAAACAGUGAUUAAGACAGCUAACAAGCAAAGUCAAAAGAAUGAAGCCAAGGCAACUUUACUACCACUACCUUUUCCUCAGUGCCUUCAGAAAUAAAAGCUUGAUAAAAACUUCCAAAAAUUUCAUGAGGUAUUCAAAAAGCUUCACAUCAACAUUCCUUUUGUAGAAGCUUUAGAGCAAACGCCAUCAUAUGUGAAGUUUCUAGAGGACAUAUUGACAAAGAAAAGGAAACUGGAGGACUUUGAGACAAUUACAAUCACUGAGGAGUGUAUUGCAAUAAUCCAGAACAAGCUUCCACCAAAGCUUUAGGACCCAAGGAGUUUUUCUAUCCCUUUCUCAAUUGGUAAUUUUAAUUUUUCAAAAGCUUGGUGUGAAUUAGGUUAUGGUGUCUUAAUUAUGCCUUUAUCUACUGCUGGGAGAAUUGGACUAAAGGAGAUUCAACCCACUACAGUCACCUUGCAACUAGCUAACAGAACAAUGAGGCACCACUGUGGGGUGAUAGAAGAUGUCUUGCUUAAAGUUGGGAAAUUGUUCAUUCUAGUAGACUUCACAGUAUGUGAGAUGGAGGAGGAUCAAAAGGUUCUGAUCAUACUAAGACAUCCAUUCUUAGCCACUGCAGGCACUUUGAUAAAUGCAAGGGUGAUAACUCUAUUAUAUAGAGUUAUUUUGACACAUUUUGGGGGUUUAAGUAGUUAGAUCUUUGAAAUUUUAGAUUCGGAUCGUUAGCAUUUUAGGUUUUUCAUGUUGAGUAGUUAAUUUAAGUUACUUUAGUUAAAUUUUAUGUUGUUUUGUGUUAAAUUACUUUAAGAGUAGUUAUUGCCAGUUUUUUCUAUUACUUUUGUAGGAAAUUUGAUGAAAAAGGCUCAUAUGAUAAAAAUCCGUGCAAGUAUGGUGAUGAUUUCAUUCAUAUAUGUUGUGGUAUUUUGACCAUAUAUCUCUUUACAAAACUCCAAAUGAAGUGUUUCAUAGACCACUAGAAUGCUAAGAAGAAGGGAUACAACUUUUAUAUUUACCACUUUUUCCAAUUCUGAUUAGAUCAUGGUCAAAAUAUUUGUCUAAUUUGAAGCACUACAGCAAUAUGCGUGGAUUGAACAUGAUGCAGUAUUUGGAGCAUAUCUUUCAAUCCAGAAGUCUAAUUGACAUGAUGAUUAAGCCAUUGCAAAGACAAGACAGGGCUACAACUUUUACGUUUACCACUUUUCCAAGUACGGAGUAGAUCAUGGUUAAAAUCAUAUUCAAAGUUGAUCAACUGCCACAGCACUAGGAGAAAAAGGCUGUAGUGCUGGAAAAGUAGCGUCGCAGUGCUGGGCAAUUUUCCAAAAAUAAAAAAGGUUGAUGAGAUUUUGAAAAUUAGGUUACUUGGAGCCUAUUUAAGGGACCUUUUUCAGAGAUUUUAAGGAGGAGGCAGCAAGCAACUAUUCUGGAGAUUUGGAGCCAAGAACAAAGCAAGAAAAUAAGAGAAUUGGAGAAAGAAUCAAGAUCACAAAGCUCCAACUAUUAGUUUUCUCUCUUUACUUUUGUGUUUUUCUCAUUUCCUUUGACUUGGAUUGAUGGCUAAAUUUCUUUGGAUGAAGUUUUUAUUAGAUAUUAUGAGCUAAAUUUGUUUUUCUAAGAUUGCAAUUGAACUCACAUGUAAUCUAAACUUUUAAUCUCCUUCUAUCUUAUCUUUAAUGGGAUUUGAAUUAUUUAUUCCAAUUUGUUCUUAAUGCUUCUUAUUACUUGAUCACCAAUUAAAUUGAUUUAGGAACCUAAACAAACUUGGGAAGGGGAGUUUAGUGUAGACUAAAAUUGAAAUAGUAUAUGAUCAUAUUAAUUGAUUUGUGUAUAGGAUAGGGAUAUACCUAUAGGCCUUUUGUAGCCAAAUUUGAACAUGAACUUAAUGAGUCUGUUUUAAUUUCAAUUCACAUAGGGAUACAGUGUUUUGGCUAAAAUAGAUAUUUUUAUAAGAUGAGUCAUGAGACCUUAUAAAUUAUUAAGGACUCUAGGUUAGCAAUUCAACCCAUUGAAAUAUGUUAAGGAAGAAAGGGUCAAUUUAGAUGAAGUGUGAGGGAUAUUAUAAUCCUAAGCUUGUUUGAUUUGCUUUUUACCCAAUUAUCAUGUUGCUUUAAUUUUUAAUUAAAUUAGUUUUAGUUGGGUAGUUUUUAGUUUACUUAGAAUUCAGCUUUUAAUUAUUUGAAUAAAACUAAAUUGUUUGAAUUUUAGUACUUAGUAAAAUUUUAUAUCAAUACCCUGUGGGAUCGAUGCUUUGCUUGCUUAUAUACUAUUUAUUCGAUACGUAUACUUGCGUAGUAGAAUUUUAACUAACAUGUUUUUGGCGUCGUUGCUAGAGAAUUAUUUCUAGAAUCUUUACUAAUACUAAUACCAAGCAAUUUAGUCUUACUUCAAAUUUUAUCUUUCUUGUUUUAAUAUUAGUUUUGUUUGCCUAUAGAUAUCUUCAAUCAGUGUAUGCAAAAAAGAAACAACUUAAAUCUUGUUCCUUUUGAUUUUGAGAUAGAAAAAACUUUUAGAAGACGUCGAAGGGAGAAUAUGCAAGUUGCAACUUUAAAUCAGACAAUGGCUGAGGAUAACAACAACAAUGGCAAUAAUGCUAUUAAUUUAGUUCCCGAAGCAAAUAAAGCACUACGGGGAUUAUGCUAUUCCUCUUUUGCAAAGUUUACACCAAAGCAUUAAAAGACCUUCCAUCAAUGCAAAUAAUUUUGAAAUUAAACCAACUUACAUUCAGAUGAUUAAGUCUUCAGUCAGUUUAACGGGUUACCCAAUGAUGAUCCUAAUUCUCAUUUGGUGAAUUUCUUGGAAAUGUGCGAUACAUUCAAAUACAAUGGAGUAACUGAUGACGCUAUUAGAUUAAGACUGCUUCCGUUUUCUUGGAGGGAUAAAGCAAAGAGUUGGCUUAGUUCAUUGCCUAAUGGGUUUAUCACUACUUAUGAGGACUUGGCUCAAAAGUUUCUAGCAAAAUUCUUUCCGCAUGCCAAGACUACAAAUAUGAAGAAUGAUAUCACCUCAUUCACACAAUUUGAUGGUGAGUCCUCGUAUAAAGCUUGGGAUAGAUUUAAAGAACUACUGAGAAGAUGUCCACAUCAUGGGAUUCCUGAUUGGUUGCAAGUUUAGACAUUUUACAAUGGGCUGGUUAGGUCAAUAAAAACCACAAUUGAUGCUGCUGUUGGUGGGGCAUUAAUGAGUAAGAAUGCUACAGAUGCUAAUAAUCUAUUGGAAGAGAUGGCAUCAAAUAAUUGCCAAUGGCCUUUAGAAUGGUCAAGUUCAAUGAAAGUUGUUGGAGCUUAUGAAUUUGAUGCACUUGGCACCUUAACUACUUAAGUAGCUACACAAGUGGUUGCACUGUCUAAGAAGUUUGACACACUGAUAGUUCAUGUAGUUCAAAAUUCAUUUGUAGUUUGUGAGAUGUGUGGAGAUGGCCAUUUAAAUGAUCAAUGUCCUUAUAAUUCUGAAUCAGUCUAAUUUGUGAGGAACUUUAAUAGAUAGCAGAAUAAGCCAUAUUCCAAUACUUAUAAUCCUAGCUAGCAAAACCACCCCAACUUUUCAUGGAACAAUGCAAAGCCUUCAAAUCUAAAAGCCAUUAUGCCUCAUAGUUUUUAACAACAAGGUAGACCACCGAUUCUUGAAAAGAGGUCCCAAGUGGAAGAACUUCUCUUGCAAUAUAUAUCAAAGACUGAUGCUACAAUUCAAAGUCAAGGUGCCUCCUUGAGAAAUCUUGAGACCUAAGUGGGACAGCUUGCAAAUUCCAUCAAUAAUAGACCUCAAGGUUCUUUACCUAGUGACACACAAAUCAAUCCUAAAGGUAAGGAACAAUGCCAAGUAAUCAUUUUAAGGAGUGGAAAAGAAAUUAAGGGGGUGAACGAAAAAGCAGUUGAAUCUGCAAAUGAACAUGUUGAUAAGGAAGGAUUGUGUUAAAAAGAAAUUGAAGUUGAACAGAAAGAAGAUGAAAAGGUUGACAAUCAAGGGAUUUCUCAAGUCAUCCAUCAUCCACCACAUUUUCCCUAAAGGCUCAAAAAGCAAAAGCUUGAAAAGCAAUUUCAGAAGUUCAUCAAUGUCUUCAAGAAAUUACACAUAAAUAUUCCUUUUGCUGAAGCUUUGGAACAAAUGCCCAGCUAUGUCAAGUUAUUGAACGACAUCCUCUCCAAAAAGAGAAAGCUAGGUGAGUUUGAAACUAGCUCCCUAACAGAAAAAUAUAGUGCAAUUUUCCAAAAUAAAUUGCCACCAAAACUCAAAGAUCUCGGUAGUUUCACAAUCCCUUGCAUUAUUGGUAAUUUAUUUUUUGCAAAAGCUUUGAGUGAUUUAGGUGCAAGCAUCAAUUUAAUGCCUUGGUCAAUUUUUGAUAAACUUGGUUUGGCGGAAUGCAAACCCAUUUCUGUUACUUUGCAACUGGCUGAUCGCUCUUAUGUGUACCUAAAGGGAAUUAUUGAAGAUGUUCUUGUCAAGAUAUAUAAAUUUAUUUUUCCAAUUGAUUUUAUAAUUCUUGACAUGGAAAAAAUAGGCAAAUUCCAAUCAUCCUUGGAAGGGCAUUCUUAGCAACUGCUAGAGUUUUGAUUGAUGUUGAAAAAUGUGAGCUCACUUUGAGAGUUCAAGACCAACAGGUAACGUUUAAUAUUUUCAAAGCUUUAAAAUUGCCUAUGACAUCUUAAAACUGCUUUUUCAUGAGUGUGGUAAAUGACUUUACACAAGAUGUUUUCUUAGAAGAAUAUCCCAAUGAUCCUCUUGAAGCAUGUUUAGUUGUUAAUUCUGAUAGGGAUGAUGAUGAAUUUAUUGAAUACUCAAAUUUGUUAAAUGCUCACUCCAGACUUAGAACUAAUCAUCAAUUUGAGUCUUUAGAUGUUUCACCUUCUUUGAUGCUAGUUUCUAAGCCCUCCAUUAAGGAACCACCUACUUUGGAAUACAAACCUCUGCCUGCACACUUGAGGUAUGCUUUUCUUGGAAAAUCUUCUACUCUUCUAGUUAGUAUUUCAGAUUUUCCUACUAACAUGCAAGAAGAGAAGUUAUUAAGGACACUCAGAGAAUUUAAGAAAGCAAUAGGGUGGAUCAUAGUUGAUAUUAAAGGAAUUAGCUCUUCUUUUUAUAUGCACAAAAUUUUCCUUGAGGAAAAUCACAAAGCAACAAUUGAACAACAAAGAAGAUUGAAUCCCAUCAUGAAAGAAAUGGUCAAGAAAGAAAGCAUCAAGUGGUUGGAUGCUGGAAUAAUUUAUCCUAUUUCUGAUAGCUCAUGGGUAAGUCUAGUUCAAUGUUCCUAAGAAAGGGAGAAUGAUUAUGGUUGCCAAUGACAAUAAUGAGCUGAUUCCAAUAAGAAUUGUGAAUGGGUGGAGAGUGUACAUGGAUUAUCGCAAGCUCAACAAUGCUACAAGGAAAGAUCACUUCCCUCUUCCAUUCAUUGAUCAAAUGUUGGAUUGCCUGGCUGGUAAGGAAUUAGUGCUUUCUAGAUGGUUAUUCUAGUUAUAAUCAAAUUGCUAUUGCCCUUGAAGAUCAAGAAAAUACUACAUUUACAUGUCCUUAUUGCACCUUUACUUUUAGAAGAAUGCCAUUUAGAUUAUGUAAUGAACCUAGAUGUAUGAUGGUUGUAUUCGCAGACAUGGUGGAGAAAUGUUUGGAGGUAUUUAUGGAUGAUUUUUCUUUGGAAAUAAUUUUGAUGAUUAUCUUUUAAAUUUUGCUAAGGUACUCAAGAGAUGUGAAGAAACAAAUUUGGUGCUCAAUUGGAAGAAAUGUCACUUCAUGGUGCAAGAAGGUAUUGUUCUUAGGCACAAAAUCUCUAGUUGUGGCAUUGAGGUAGAUAAAGCAAAAAUUGAAACAAUUGAGAAAUUACCACCCUCAAUAAAUGUCAAAGUUAUUAGAAGUUUUCUUGGUCAUGCUGGUUUUUAUAGAAGAUUUAUUAAAGACUUUUCAAAAAUUUCUUAACCACUUUGCAAUUUAUUGGAAAAAGAUAUGCCAUUUAACUUUGAUAAUGAAUGUCUUGUGGCUUUUGAUGAAUUGAAGCAAAGAUUAAUAUUUGCACCUAUCAUAAUUAGUCCCUAUUGGACUCUCCCUUUUGAAUUAAUGUGUCAUGUAAGUGGCUAUGCGGUGGGAGCUGUUUUAGGACAAAAGAAGGAUAAAAUCUUUCAUUCCAUUUGUUAUGCUAGCAAGACUUUGAAUAAGGCCUAAAAAAAUUAUACCAUAAUAGAAAAUGAGCUUUUGGAUGUAGUUUUUGCUUUUGACAAAUUUCGCUCCUAUCUCAUGGGGACAAAGGUGAUAGUGUACAUUGACCAUUUAGCUAUCAAAUAUUUGAUUGCAAAGAAAGAUGGUAAACGAAGAUUAAUAAGGUGGAUUCUCUUGCUACAAGAGUUUGAUUUAGAGACUCGUGACAAAAAAGGAAUAAAAAAUCAAGUGGCAAACCACUUCUCAAGAUUGGAGAUGGAAGCUCAAGGUAAAGAUUCAACUUUAAUCAAAGAGAUGUUCCCUGAUGAACAAAUCCUUCAAGUUGGCAAGAAAUCACUUCCUUGGUAUGUUGAUUUCAUGAAUUAUCUGGUAAGCAAUAUUAUUCCGCCUUAUUUAAAUUUUUAUCAGAAAAAGAAAUUUUUGCAUGAUGUUAAAUUUUAUUUUGGGAUGAGCCUUUCUUGUUUAAGCAGUGUAAAGACCAGAUCUUCAAAAAAUGUGUCCCAGAAAAAAAAAUUCAAAAUGUGCUUAACCAUCACCAUUCUUUUGAUUAUGGAAGGCAUUUUGGAGGAACAAGGACUACUGCUAAAGUCCUCCAAUCAAGUUUGUAUUGGCCUACAUUAUUUAAGGAUGCUCACAAUUUUGUUUUGCAUUAUAACAGGUGCCAAAGAAUGGGUAAUAUCUCAAGGCGACAUGAGAUGCCUCUCAACAUCUUUGAGAUAGAAAUUUUUUAUGUAUAGGGUAUUGACUUCAUGUGUCCAUUCAUAUCUUCAUACAACAACAAAUACAUCUUGCUUGCCAUAAAGUAUGUCUCCAAAUGGGUUGAAACGGUAGUGUUUCUUCAUAAUGAUUCAAAGUUGGUGAUGAAUUUCAUUAAGAAGAACAUGUUCACUCGAUUUGGUACUCCAAGGGCAAUUAUUAGUGAUGAGGGGAGUCACUUUUGCAACAAGUAUUUUGAUACACUUUUGGAAAAAUAUGGAGUUAAACAUAAGGUUGAAACUGCAUACCAUCCUCAAACUAGUGGACAAGUGAAAAUGUCAAAUAAAGAAAUUAAGCGAAUCUUAGAAAAAAAUGGUGUGUCCCAUAAGAAAAGAUUAGGCGAGAAGAUUAGAUGAUGCAUUAUGGGCAUAUCAGACUGCUUACAAGACCUCAAUUCGUAUGUCUCCAUACAAGUUAGUCUUUGGCAAAGCUUCCCACCUACUAGUGGAACUUGAGCACAAUGCUUAUUAGGCUAUGAAGAAGUUAAAUUUUGAUUUACAAGCAGCGGGUGAGUAAAGGUUGCUGCAAUUAAUUGAAAUUGAUGAAUUUCACCUUCAACCUUAUGAGAAUGCCAAACUCUAUAAGGAGAAAACAAAGCAAUGGCAUGAUAAGAAAAUAGUGGAACGAAGCUUUAAGCCAGGACAAUUGGUGUUGCUUUAUAAUUCUCACUUGAAAUUAUUUUUGGGGAAGCUCAAAUCAAGGUGGUCUAGUCUGUUCAUUUUCAAUGAGGUAUCUCCACAUGGAGCAAUUGAAGUUAGGGGGACAGAUGGUUCGAAAUUCAAAGUAAAUGGACAAAGAUUAAAGCAUUAUUGGGGAGGCAAAAUAAAUCACCAAAAGUCCGCAAUAUAGUUGCUUGACAUGGCCUAGAAUCCAAUAAAAAAAUUUAUCUUCCACAAGAAUUAAUGAUAAUGAAGAUGAGAAGGAAAAUUUGAGCAUUUUUAGAUUCAUCCAAUCACCAGUGGAGUAUUCUUUGUCGUUCCUACAUUUUUUUCUUUAAACAUUGGGGACAAUGUUUAGUUUUAAGUUUGGGGGCGUGUUUUGUUUGUUUUUGCUUAUCUUUGUUUGUUUAUCUUUAUUAUUUUACAUGUUUAGCUAGUUUUAAUUUUUAGCUUUUAAAAAUAUUGAGAUAGUUUGCACCUUAUCCAUGAUUUUUCCCUAUCUUAGGAUGAUAUUUUGAUUAUCUUGUGAUUCUUAGCUUUUGGGAAACAUAUAGUUAUGAUUUACUUUUAUAUGCUAUUCUUGUGUUAACUUUUAUUUUAGAAUGUGACUUCCAAUAAUUCGAGCACCAUAUUUGUUUACUUAGAAUUUUUAUGUGAUUUAGAGAAAGUUUAUAUUGAUAAAGAGUAUAGUGAAGUCACGAAUUCUAGAAUUUGUUUGAUUCUCUCUCGAGGCGAAAUCCUAGAUAACACUUAGGAUAGGAAGUGAUUUAGGCCAUCUUUGGAUCGGUUAAGCCUUAUUGAGCUACCUUAUUAUAUAGUUAUCCUUAGUCAUCCAUUUUGAGCCUAAAUUACCAUUUCUUUGUAUAUACACAAAUAUAUUAGACUUAGCAUUUUUAUUUAAUUUCAACAGUUUGAACCUUUCUCCUUUAAAUAUUUUGAUCUUUCUAAGAGGGGUAUUGAGCUUAAAGAUAAAUUAAGGGAGAAAGGUGAUGGGUGCUUGAAAUUUACCCCAUGUUCAUAAUUGUCAAAAACAAGUUUGGGGUGUAAAAAAAAAAUAAAGUGUGUUGUAUAAAGGAAAUUUUACUUUAAGUUUGGAAGUGCUAUAGAAUUUUAUUAAGCUCUUUAUAAGUCCUAGAUUGAUUAAGAGUUUAAGAUGAAUUUGAGCCUAAAAAUAUCCUUUAUCAUACCUUGACCCUAGCUUUACAUUAUAAGCUUAAUAAAGACCUAUUGAUCCUUGAAUAAGUGUUAUUCUACAUUAAUGGGGAGAAAAAUGAAAACAAACUUACGGAAUCCUAGUACUAACCUAUGUUUACAUUUGGCAUAAACUAAUAUGAAUUGCAUGAUAGUUUUUGUAAAAGAUUAUACACACAUACAAGAAGUCCAUUCGAAAAAUAAGUUUUCACUUGAAUUGAUGCAUGACUUUAAGUAUUAAUUGUAUUGUACCUUAAGCUAGAAUUAGGAUAAUUUCUAAGGGAAAUAUUGGGAAAUCAUGAUUUGGUAAUUCUAUCUCUCAUUCAAUUUUUUUUAUGUUCAGUUUUUUUUAUUUUCUUUUGCUCGAAGACUAGCAAAAUCUUAAGUUCGGGGGUGUGAUAACUCUAUUAUAUAGAGUUAUUUUGACACAUUUUGAGGGCUUAAGUAGUUAGAUCUUUGAGAUUUUAGGUUCAAAUCAUAGCACUUUUGGUGUUUUUCUAGUUUAAGUUUGACUAUAUGUUGAGUAGUUAAUUUAAGUUAUUUUAGUUAAAUUUUAUGUUAUUUUGUUUUAAAUUACUUUAAGAGUAUCUAUUGCUAGUUUCUUUUAUUGCUUUUGUAAGAAAUUUGAUGAAAAAGGCUCAUAUGAUGAAAAUCCAUGCAAGUGUGGUGAUGAUUUCAUUCAUAUAUGUUGCGGUAUUUUGGCCAUAUCUCUCUCUACAAACUCCAAAUGAAGUGUUUCUUAAACCACUAGAACGUUAAGAAGAAAGGAUACAACUUUUAUGUUUACCACUUUUCCCAAUUCUGAUUGGAUUAUGGUCAAAGUUUCUAGUCUAAGUUGACUCACUGUUAUAGUAUGCAUGGACCGAUCAUGAUGCAGUAUUUGCAGCAUAUCUUUCAAUCUAGAAGUCCAAUUAACAUUAUUCUUAAGCCAUUGGAAAGCUAAGAGACAGGGAUACAAUUUUUGUUUAUGACUUUUCCUAGUUUGGAGCAGUUCAUGGUGAAAAUCACAUUUGAAAUUGAUAGACCACCUCAGCACUAGGAGAACAAGGUUGCAGCGUUGGAGAAGUAGCAUUGCAGCGCUAGGCGAUUUUUAAAAAAUAAAAAAGGUUGACGACAUUUUGGAAAUUAGGUUACUUUAAGCCUAUUUAAGGGACCUUUUUUAGAGAUUUCAAGGAGGAAGCAGCAAGCAACUAUUCUGGAGAUUUGGAGCCAAGAACAAAGCAAGAAAAUAAGAGAAUUUGAGGGAGAAUCAAGAUCACAAAGCUCCAACUAUUAGUUUUCUCUCUUUAUUUUUUUGUUUUUCUUAUUUCCUUCGACUUGGAUUAAUGGCUAAAUUUCUUUGGAAGAAGUUUUUAUUAGAUAUUAUGAGCUAAAUUUGUUUGUCUAGGAUUGUAAUUGAACUCACAUGUAAUCUAAACUUUUAAUCUCUUUCUUUCUUAUCUUUAAUGGGAUUUGAAUUGUUUAUUCCAAUUUGUUCUUAAUGCUUUUAAUUGCUUGAUCACCAAUUAAAUUGAUUUAGGAACCUAAACAAACUUGGGAAAAAGAGUUUAAUGUAGACUAAAAUUGGGAUAGCAAAUGAUCAUAGUAAUUGAUUUGUGUAUUGGAUAGGGAUAUACCUAUAGGCCUUAUAUAGUCAAAUUAAAGCCCGAACUUAAUGAGUCUGUUUUAAUUUCAAUUCAAAUAGGGAUAUAGUGUUUUGGUUAAAAUAAAUAUUUUUAUAAGAUGAGUCUGGAGACCUUUAUAAAUAAUUGAAGAAUCGAGGUUAACAAUUCAACCCAUUAAAAUAAGUUAAGGAAGAGAGCUAACAUUUAGAUGAAGUGUGAGGGAUAUUGUAAUCCUAGGCUUGUUUAAUUUGCUUUUUAACCAAUUAUCUUGUUGCUUUAAUUUUUAAUUAAAUUAGUUUUAGUUGAGUUGUUUUUAGUUUAAUUAGAAUUUAAAUUUUAAUUAUUUGAAUAAAACUAAAUUGUUCUAAUUUUAGUACUUAGUGAAAUUUUAUAUCAAUUCUUUGUAGGAUCAAUGCUCUGCUUGCUUAUAUACUAUCUAUUCGAUAUGUAUACUUGCGUAGUAGAAUUUUAAUUGACAAAGAGAAGACAGAACAAUUUUCAGAGUUAGAGAGGAGGUAGUUAAAUUUACUAUUUUAAUGCAACUAAAAGUCCUUCAACCACAGCUCAUUACUAUAGAGUGGAUUUAGUUUAUAAAGAUCAAGGUAAUCCUACUGCACUACCUACAAGUAAGCAAGCAUCAAUUCUUAAAUCAGAGCCACCGCCACCACAACUCAAAACUAAACAGUGUUAUGAUGAGCAUGAUCCACUACCUUCAGUUAAUCUUGAUUUUAAAGUGGGACAACAAGUGUUACUGACGAAAUUAGUCAAGCUCUUUCCAUGGAAACAAAAAUCAAAGUGGUCAAGUCUUUACAAGGUGGUUAAGGUCAAUUCAUGCGGUGCAAUAGCUAUUUGUAGUGAAUGGGCAACAUCUCCAGCAUUACCUAAGAGGUGAACUGGAUCACCGAAUAUCCUCAAGUACUUAAUAGCGAACAAAAAGGGGUAUCAUAGUCAAACUAGUGACUAUAAAGAAGCGCUUUUUUAGAGGCAACCCAAGCUAUAUUUUUUUAGGUUUAGUUGUUAUUUUAGUCAGUUUUUGUUUUUCUAUUUAAAUAUGUCAAACCCUGUUCUAUAAAAUAAUUACGAUGUCAUUUACAUGCUCAAUAGAAUGGUUACAUAUUUAGGAAGUUUGAGAAAUCUUUAAAAGACGAUAUUGCCCCUAAUGGUACCAUUAAGUCGAUUAAGCCUCGAACUAGUUCAAAUAGGAAUUUUAAGGUGCAAUUAAGAGUUUCACAAUUUAGGGAUGACUCAAAAUGGUAAUUCGGAGUUCGAGGAUCAAUUUGGAGUCAAACCGAAAUUUUCACUAUCUAGGGCCAAAAUGAUCAUUUGCCACUAGGGGACAAAAUGGGAAUUUUUAGAAAAGAUUUUUUUGGUCCAUUUGACUUAUUGGAGUAUGAUUUAAGUAUUGGAGUAUGAUUUGAAGUUUAAAAGUGAAAAAUUUUAAUUCCAGUAUAAUUUGGAGUAUAAGGGUGAAAUGGUAAUUUUGCCACCCCGAGGGCAAAUCGGUAAAUUUUCACCCCCGACACUUGUCAAGACCAAGGGAUUUUAUUCAUCAUGGAAAUGGAUAAACAUGAGAAAUGUGUGGUGGAGAAUUAAAGAAUUAAAAGUCAAAUAUUUAAAAUUUGAGCCAAUAAGGAAAUGCCAUGUGUCAUGUUUUUAUUAUUUUAUUAUUUCUUUAUAAAAAGGCAAAAAAAUCAGCCCAUGUCUCCCAUAGUGAUCAGCCAAACCAGAAGAGAAGAGAAACCAAGGAAAAACAAACCCUAGGUGGGACAAAUCAAAGAGAAAGUGUUGGAAUUCAAGGAUUUAAUCAAGCAAAGGUAAAAUUUCUUUGAUUUUGCUAGUGAUUUACCUUACCCAUGCAUUUUCCCUUAAUUUCCAUGGUUAAAUUACAUGUUUUCAUGAUGAAUUCAUGGCUGGUCAAAAUGGGUACGGAGAGAGAAUGAUCUUGGAUUGGUUUGAUUUUUAGGUAUGUUAGUGUUUUUAGGUGAUUAAUGAUGUGUAGCAUGAAAACAAGUNNNNNNNNNNNNNNNNNNNNNNNNNNNNNNNNNNNNNNNNNNNNNNNNNNNNNNNNNNNNNNNNNNNNNNNNNNNNNNNNNNNNNNNNNNNNNNNNNNNNNNNNNNNNNNNNNNNNNNNNNNNNNNNNNNNNNNNNNNNNNNNNNNNNNNNNNNNNNNNNNNNNNNNNNNNNNNNNNNNNNNNNNNNNNNNNNNNNNNNNNNNNNNNNNNNNNNNNNNNNNNNNNNNNNNNNNNNNNNNNNNNNNNNNNNNNNNNNNNNNNNNNNNNNNNNNNNNNNNNNNNNNNNNNNNNNNNNNNNNNNNNNNNNNNNNNNNNNNNNNNNNNNNNNNNNNNNNNNNNNNNNNNNNNNNNNNNNNNNNNNNNNNNNNNNNNNNNNNNNNNNNNNNNNNNNNNNNNNNNNNNNNNNNNNNNNNNNNNNNNNNNNNNNNNNNNNNNNNNNNNNNNNNNNNNNNNNNNNNNNNNNNNNNNNNNNNNNNNNNNNNNNNNNNNNNNNNNNNNNNNNNNNNNNNNNNNNNNNNNNNNNNNNNNNNNNNNNNNNNNNNNNNNNNNNNNNNNNNNNNNNNNNNNNNNNNNNNNNNNNNNNNNNNNNNNNNNNNNNNNNNNNNNNNNNNNNNNNNNNNNNNNNNNNNNNNNNNNNNNNNNNNNNNNNNNNNNNNNNNNNNNNNNNNNNNNNNNNNNNNNNNNNNNNNNNNNNNNNNNNNNNNNNNNNNNNNNNNNNNNNNNNNNNNNNNNNNNNNNNNNNNNNNNNNNNNNNNNNNNNNNNNNNNNNNNNNNNNNNNNNNNNNNNNNNNNNNNNNNNNNNNNNNNNNNNNNNNNNNNNNNNNNNNNNNNNNNNNNNNNNNNNNNNNNNNNNNNNNNNNNNNNNNNNNNNNNNNNNNNNNNNNNNNNNNNNNNNNNNNNNNNNNNNNNNNNNNNNNNNNNNNNNNNNNNNNNNNNNNNNNNNNNNNNNNNNNNNNNNNNNNNNNNNNNNNNNNNNNNNNNNNNNNNNNNNNNNNNNNNNNNNNNNNNNNNNNNNNNNNNNNNNNNNNNNNNNNNNNNNNNNNNNNNNNNNNNNNNNNNNNNNNNNNNNNNNNNNNNNNNNNNNNNNNNNNNNNNNNNNNNNNNNNNNNNNNNNNNNNNNNNNNNNNNNNNNNNNNNNNNNNNNNNNNNNNNNNNNNNNNNNNNNNNNNNNNNNNNNNNNNNNNNNNNNNNNNNNNNNNNNNNNNNNNNNNNNNNNNNNUAAGACGAGAAUUAAUCUCGGAGUUGCAUCUUAGAAAGUAAGGGUUCGUAGCCCUACAUCUUCUUAGUCAAUUGUGGGCUCACGUGUCACUGUAAUAGUAAUUUUAUUCUUCAGUUAUCUGAUUUAAAGUAUGUAUGAAUAUAUUUAGCUUUUACACAAUGUAUUUUUGGCGAGUUUUGGUAUUUUCGAAGAAAAAUGACGAAAAUGCCCCUGUGAGCCAGAAAGUAAUAUUUUAUUGUUUUGAUUUGGAAAUGACUUAUGAUUUUUUCUGAAAUGUGAGAUUUAAUAACUGUCACUCACUAGGGAGAUGCAGAAGCUGAUGCUAAGCCUUGCGGGGUUUCGAUCGGCAUUCGGGGUAAUGAGUGCCUAUCGGGACGUCGCGGGGGUUGUCAC
rnacentral:lncRNA from 1 species